rnacentral:rRNA from 1 species
GAAGCCCCAGUGAACGGCGGCCGUAACUAUAACGGUCCUAAGGUAGCGAAAUUCCUUGUCAGGUAAGUUCUGACCCGCAUGAAAGGCGUAAUGAUUUGGGCACUGUCUCAACAGCCCGCCCGGCGAAAUUGUAGUACCGGUGAAGAUGCCGGUUACCCGCGACAAGACGGAAAGACCCCAUGGAGCUUUACUGUAGCCUAAUAUUGGGUUUCGAUGUUGCAUGCACAGGAUAGAUGGGACACAGGGAAACAAUCGCUUUGGCGGUUGCGGAGUGGCCGUUGGGAUACCAUCCUUGCGAUAUUGGAAUUCUAACCUGCGGCUCUGAAUCGAGUCGGGGGACAUUGUUAGGUGGGCAGUUUGACUGGGGCGGUCGCCUCCUAAAAAGUAACGGAGGCGUUCAAAGGUUCGCUCAGCUUGAACGGAAAUCAAGCAAAAGAGUGCAAACGCAGAAGCGAGCCUAACUGCGAGACUGACGGGUCGAGCAGUAACGAAAGUUGGAGUUAGUGAUCCGGUGGUAUGUGAGUGGAAAUGCCAUCGCUCAACGGAUAAAAGUUACCCUGGGGAUAACAGGCUGAUCUCCCCCAAGAGUCCACAUCGACGGGGAGGUUUGGCACCUCGAUGUCGGCUCAUCGCAUCCUGGGGCUGUAUUCGGUCCCAAGGGUUUGGCUGUUCGCCAAUUAAAGCGGUACGCGAGCUGGGUUCAGAACGUCGUGAGACAGUUCGGUCCCUAUCUGUCGUGGGCGCAGGAUAUUUGAUGGGAGCUGUCCCUAGUACGAGAGGACCGGGACGGACGUACCUCUGGCGCACCAGUUGUUCCGCCAGGAGCAUAGCUGGGCAACUACGUACGGAUCGGAUAAACGCUGAAAGCAUCUAAGCGUGAAGCCGACCCAAAGAUAAGAUAUCCCACUGAUUUGAUCAGGUAAGACCCCUUGAAGACUACAAGGUCGAUAGGCACGAUGUGUAAGUGGAGCGAUCCAUUCAGCAAGCGUGUACUAAUAGGUCGAGGGCUUGACCAC